GACGAACGCUGGCGGCGUGCUUAACACAUGCAAGUCGAACGGAAAGGCCUUGCUUUUGUGGGGUGCUCGAGUGGCGAACGGGUGAGUAACACGUGAGUAACCUGCCCUUGACUUUGGGAUAACUUCAGGAAACUGGGGCUAAUACCGGAUAGGAGCUCCUGCUGCAUGGUGGGGGUUGGAAAGUUUCGGCGGUUGGGGAUGGACUCGCGGCUUAUCAGCUUGUUGGUGGGGUAGUGGCUUACCAAGGCUUUGACGGGUAGCCGGCCUGAGAGGGUGACCGGCCACAUUGGGACUGAGAUACGGCCCAGACUCCUACGGGAGGCAGCAGUGGGGAAUAUCGCACAAUGGGCGGAAGCCUGAUGCAGCAACGCCGCGUGCGGGAUGACGGCCUUCGGGUUGUAAACCGCUUUCGCCUGUGACGAAGCGUGAGUGACGGUAAUGGGUAAAGAAGCACCGGCUAACUACGUG
rnacentral:rRNA from 1 species